rnacentral:lncRNA from 1 species
UUAUAUAUAUAAAAAAUUUUUUUUUAAGUAUAUUAUUAUAUUUAUAUUAUAUUUAUUUGUGUGUGUGUGCGCGCGCGCGCGCUUCUGAAGUUUUAUUUGCGAAGAGCUUUUGAAUGAUUUGUAAUUCGAAAAUUACUAAUGUAUCGACAUUUUAAUUAUUAAAAGAGGAAGGAUCUGCUCAAAAUUGCUCGUGGAAUCUGUUGUUAAAGCUAAGCGCAGUGCGUCGUGAGACACCGUGUGUAUUUUACACGCCUAACCGCGUGUUGACAGCAUUCACUUUUCUUUUUUUUUUUUCACUUGACCGUCGCGCUCGUUAAUGUAUCGCACUUUUAUCGCGUCGUUUAGAGACUCCGCGCGAUACUUGUGACUACUGUCGAAGCUGCGAUAUGCAUAUUAGCCGCACAUACUUUUUUUUUGUUGCACUGCAAAACGUAUUACGGCAAAACUAUAAUUUUCAUAUGGUAGUCUUAUAAGACGCGAGUAUUAAGAGUGUUUGUGUUAAGGUUGAAAAAAAGAAUUCUUUGAGAGGAGAGAGAGAGAGAGCGGGUCGAGGUGGCUUGGUGGAGGACAGUGAUAAACGGUCGUCGCGAUCUCGAGGCCAUUAAUAAGCACUUGUGUAUUGCGAGAUCGCUCCGACCGAUCGAUCGAAUAUACUUGAGCGAUUCUAAAUCCGACGCAUUUAAAAAACGAGUGAAACCAGCGACGAGGAUUCUCAGUGACUUUUGUCCACUUCGUUCCGCUUAUUUCUUCCAAAUCUCCAUUGAUCCCAAAAUUGCGCAUAUACAUUUUUCCGUCGCACACACACGAAUACGGAGUGUCCUGCAUUCCCACAUUUUCUCAUUUUUCUUAAUUAAAAAAAUUUUAUUUAUUAUUUCGCGAGCGAGAAACAAAUAUGUAAAUCAUAAAAAGCCGACGAUUUUAAUAUUAAGAUUAAGAUUAAUGUUGCGAAGAAUUAAUUUAAGUAAUUAACUGAAGUAUGAUUAAUCUGUACAAUACAAUUAAUUAAUUGACGCGCGACAAUGCAAUUUCGCGGAAACUCGCACUUGUAUUUUUUACUUGAUGUUUGUACAAUGUCUGUUUAUUGACGGUUUUUGUCGUCGGCUUCACUCGUGCGAGUGGAAACGUUCGUGUUUAGGCUGUUCUUAGGAACGUGCGUUGGAAUGACUGCGAAUUUAACGUGUGUGAAGCAUAUAUUAAUAAUAAUUACGCCGUAAGCGUCACAGCGAUACCGCGAGGAGCUCCGUUCCCUCGCGAUAUCCUUCACUAUUAAGAGUCGCUUCGUCCUGCCUUCGAUAUGCGCGAUCUAUGUGAAAGAAUCGUUCGAGUUCACAUUAGAACACGCGAAUUGGGACGGGCGAUUUGCACACUUGUGGUUUUCUAGUUGUAACGAUCAAAAUGCAUUCUCAAAAUGCAGUUUCUGGAUAAAUUUGAAAUAAAAUUCGCGUAAGACACGAGCGAAACCGAUUUUCUUCAUGUAAGAAUAAGUCAAUAAUUAUUGAAUGCACAAAGCGUAAUCACGAGAUGACUAGAUCUGAGCUGUUUGAACUUUCGUAUCAAUAAGAGGAAUGGAAAGCGAUAUAUCAAUGAGUUCGAAUGUUGAUGACAGGGCAUUCCGAAGAUAGACGAAUGUCUUUUUCUUAACAAAGUUCAAGCUCAUUUAAUCUCAAUGCUGUUAAUCUAUAUUUAAAUCGAACAAAAGUGAUUGAAUUGGAACAAUUGUUAACUGGAUAUACAUAAUCCAAUGUCCCGCUAGUGUUUCGCAAUGGUAAGCGAAACAUUAAUCUAAUGUUUCGCAAUGGUAAGCGAAACAUUAAUCUAAUGUUAAUUUAAUGUCCCUUUUAUCAAUCGCUUAUAAUUCAGAAACUGUCGACGUUUUCACUGAAAACAAAAUCUACUCUAAAUUCAUCCGUUAUUAAAGAGACAUCCGUUUGCCCUGGAACAUCCUGUAUAAUAAUCUCUGCGUUUAUACUUUGCAAGGGAAAAACGAUCCGUAUAAGAUACACUGUUGCAAUAUCGAAUUCAAUGAAAUUAUCGCUGUCAGAAGGAGCACGUCAUGCGAAUCAUAUGUCGCCGAACUUAUCGGCGUGCCGAACUUUACCUCGAAUUGUGAUAUGCAUUGUGCUGAAUGAUCGCGCGCGAAUCGGACAGCAUCCGUUUUUAAUAACAGCCAUCGACUGCCAAACUCUCGAGAUUUCUCUCGCAUAUAGGUUCCUCGCAGCGUGUAUCGGGAUUCGAAGCUUCACAGAUAAGAAAGAAAGAGAGAGAGAGAGAGAGAGAAAGAGAGAAGAGCUCGUCGAUGUGUAAUCAGCGCGUUUUUCGCAAACUUUUUUUUAUUCCGAAUUCUUUUCAGGUUCCUGGUCUCUCGUUGCAGCCGUACUGAGUUAAAGGCGAGAAACUAAUUUUUUUUUUCUCGCACUGCGUAUCGAAAUAAAUUAAAUGUUUUCGAUUGUAAUCACUUGUGUUCAAUAAUUCAAUACAGCUGCAGCGAGCGGAGCGGAACCUUAACGUGAUGCGAGGCCGGGAGGCCGGGACGAAAUCCACCAGUGCGAUUUAUACUUGCUAAUCGUUGUUGAUCCGUGCGUUAAUACGAAUACAUCGAUCUUGCUCGGUGCUGAGAAAUCUGGCGGCAUUACUCUUUUAUGCGUUGCUAGACUUUUACGACGCGCACUUGCGUCAUUUUCUCAAGAUUAAAAUUCUUAGAUUCCGACAUCGUCUUUUUUUUGUUGCGAAUAUUUCGCUACGGUAAGCGAGCCGGAUUAGCAAGCACCGAAGGAGUUGCAAAAACGGACGUUGCUUUCCCGAAAGUAGACGAGACGAGCUCAAGGACGCCGCGAAGUUAAUGUAAUAUUUUAAGUGAGUGAAGAGCGACGCGCGCGGGACUACUUUGUAUCGAGAAACACGUUCUUUUUAAUUGUAGAGAGCGAAAGCGCGAACUACAGCGAGCACCGAAUAUGGCCACUACUUCGUUUCGUAAGACGUAUCUUGAGGAUAUUUGUAUGUAAAUGAAUGACAAAACAAUAAAAAGAGUAUACGCUGUACGGACGUUCCCCUCCUUCAUUGCUCAUCCGUGCAUCAUAUAUGUAACGUAAACAUGCGGGCCCGCGAUGACUUGUGGGAUCGCAGCGGAAAUGAAAAAUUGCUACAACUCACGGAACCCAUGCUAUUUCUUAAUAGCCUGAUAUGUUUGGUCGUCUCGCCACCUGGCUGUCUGAUAAUUAUGACGGAUCACGACAAGGAAUAAUAAAGGGAGCUUUCUUGAUUAGAACAGAGAUUUAGACGUCAUCGCGUUUACGCGCUAUCUACAGCUGGAGCGAAGGCGAUCGCCACGUUGCCUCUGCUUCGAUGACCCGACGAAGAUCGAACACCGGGGAUAAUCAAAUUCUGAUUAGGAUUUUUAAACAUGACGCACACACAUUCAAAAGACAUCCAGAAGAUAUCCUGAAGAUAUCUUUGAGAGAUAUGAUAUCUUCGAAAUGUCCCCCGAACGUCCCCCGGAUAUGCAUGCUGUGUGGAUUCUUCCUUUUUUCCACUGCAAUGUCCGAUAUCUUAAAUAAAUGUACAAGAUGUUUCACAUCUCGUGUUGGUUGUUAACAAUAGAUUCUUUGAAGGCAAUUUUUUUCUUUAUCAAAGCAUCUAUAAAUUUCAAAUCGUGAACAUUUGAAAACGGAGGGUUUCUUUGCAAACUAAAUAUUAAAGAACCAAAACUACAUAUAUAUUUUAGUCUAUUUAAAAUACAA